rnacentral:piRNA from 1 species
UCAUAUCGUUCAUCGUGGUUUUAAAUGC